CACAAGACGCCUCAUUCUCAGCACAGAGACAAUGCAGAAGCUUCCUUUGGUUCCCCAGGAGAAGCAAAGGGAAUCGGAGGUGACAAAGGCACAGCAGAGAGGAACAUUGGAAAAUUGAGUCCUGCCUCCAUGUGCCAAAGACAGACUGGUUUCAACAAAGCAUCCUUGCAAAUGCUCAGGCAAAACUAUCAACAAUGCUAUUGUCUUCAGAAAAUAUGCAGAAAAAAGAGCUGACAUUUGACAUACAAGUUAUUCUUGGAUGAGAAAAAUAAAAGAGGCUGGAGAACUUGGGAGCAAAGAGGUGAAAAUUGGGCUGCCUUUGUGUGAAAACAGGUGAAGAGGAAGAAGAACACAGUACAGGUAGGCAAGUCACAGGUGAAGAGCUGAAGUUUAUGAGUUGGGUAGAUGUACCUGUGUGUUUGGUGGGGGAAGCUUGGAAAAGAUCAAUUUUUAAGCUACAGAAUAGAGAAAGGGAAUAGUGAAUAGCCUUUAUUGAGCACUUCUAGCUGCCAUGCACAUACUACUUUAGAUGUAACUUAGCAUUUACUGUGCUCUUUCUCUGUACCAAGCAAGUACUCUGUUGAUCAAUGUAGUAGAGCAUGGGAAAUGAGGUUGAAAAAUGAUCAGAUUAUGGAGGGCCUU
rnacentral:lncRNA from 1 species